rnacentral:rRNA from 1 species
UACGUAGGGUGCAAGCGUUAAUCGGAAUUACUGGGCGUAAAGCGUACGCAGGCGGCUAGGUAAGACAGAUGUGAAAUCCCCGGGCUUAACCUGGGAACUGCAUUUGUGACUGCUUAGCUAGAGUCUGUCAGAGGGGGGUGGAAUUCCACGUGUAGCAGUGAAAUGCGUAGAGAUGUGGAGGAACACCGAUGGCGAAGGCAGCCCCCUGGGAUAAGACUGACGCUCAUGUACGAAAGCGUGGGGAGCAAACAGG